CACAACAGGAACUCCCCAAAUAGUCUUUUUACUGUGUUGUUAAUUGUGCUCCAUCUUCCAAUGAACUAACACAGUCUUGCAAAAAUGCUCAGAAAAUCUGCAAAUAUGAACUACUUGAGAAAGACGCAGGCACUAACUGGUUAGAAAGAAGAAAUCAACGCCUAGAAGAAAUAAGGACUGCCUUUUCCUUCGUGUUCAGGGUCUGUGUGUAAGGCUGGUGUAUAAAGUGUCAGCGAAGGGCACCCAGGAGCCCUUUCCUAAUGAUCCCAAACAAAUCGCAGGGAGCAAACAAGGCGUGGUUCUGGCUAAUAAACAAGGUCGUAAAGUGAAUCCACCAAUUUCCAAGCUACCAUUGUGUGGGGGGAGAGUUCUUCUUUACGAACUAAAUGCAUUAACUUUUAUGGCAGCUGAUUUCCUUCUGAGAGCUGUGUUGCAUCCCAUUUAUCAAACGGGGUCUACCUUGAGGUGCGUGCGCGUUAUGUUACUAAGAGAGAGAGAGUUCGUCAGGAUGGCGCAAAUUUUAAAACGUGGCUCACCUGUGGGGAGGAAUAAAUGAGAUAAAUGGGGUGAUCAGAGAAAGGAAGCAGUUUACUCAAUCCUCUGUGUGUGUGUGUGCGUGUGCGUGCGUGCGCACGACAAGGAGGCAGGAGUGUAAACAGCAGAGGGGACAGAGAUCAGCCAGUAGGUAAACGCUGGUGACCUCGAGGGCUUAGCCCAGGAGCACACGGGUCAGGGCUACCACUGAGGUAAUGCAUGCACAAUGCACAUAAAGCAGUAGCUGAGAGUCUCUGUUGUCCUGGGACUGGCGCUCUGUUUAGGAAGACAGAUUACACCCCCGGAGCGAUGCCAUGGCAUGCUCUCUGGGCUACUUGGGCCAAAGGAGUUACCGUCCUGACAUCGCAGGAGCUCAGAGAUGUGCCGUGGGCUGCAGUAUUUGGGGAGAAAGAGGUGCUAUUGAGCUGGGCUCUGCAGAGUAGUGCUGCGUGGUUGGCUGGAUGAAAAUGCAUGUGAAGAGAUGUCACAGAGGUAGAGGGAUAAGACAGAUAAGGUGGCUCUGCGGAUUCUGGGACAUCCACGAAUCCCCUGCAUGGCCACAAAUUAUUCCAUCUUUUCCCUUGCAAGAAACAAUGUCGUCUGUAAAGGAAGAUGAUUUGAAUGAACAUAAAGAGAAGACCAAGGGCCAAGGAGGCCUUCUAGAAAUCCUGAAAAGAACAAUUCUAUUGUCGUGCUGGCUUUCUAUUACUUCUAUGAAUAUGUUUGCUAUGUCAAUGCCAAAGACAUGAAAGAGGGAAAACACAGGCUCUCGUAAUGACAGUCGCCUAUGGAAACAGCUGUGAGAGCCAUCACGCCCAAGAACUUAAAGAGAGCUAUGACAUCAUCCUCUGAGUUUUGAAUUCCCUUCCGUCACAGCAUAAAAUAUUUUUAAAAGCAAUUUCUGGACAUCUACUUAGGAGGAGGCUUCGGGUCAGGAGUCAUGCUAAGGAAUGAGUCAUGACGCACCAGGACAAGUCCAUUCACAUGUUGGUCUUUGCGGUCCUUUUGCUCUGUUGCCAACACAGGCCUCCCUGCCAUCACACGGACAGAGGGAAAAAUGAUAGCCUGGGAAAUGAUGACAACAUCUUCUGAAAGUGUCAAGAUCCCGGAGGUCAUUCCUGGACUUGCUGCGUGGUUUUCAUCUUCCUAAUGAGCAACACCUUCUUAGGAAGCAGGCAGGAGCGGAUGUCCUCCGUCUGUAAGUCCUAUUAAAGGUGAGUUCAGCAUCAACUCCUCGGCCUUUUAAGGUACUACUCUCCUUCUCUUCAUUUGCAAUGUCCAUGGGCACAAAACCCAAGUCAUGAUCUUAUCCUUUGGCUCUCUUCCCUCAGCCACAGGGCAACCUCUGCUAACUCAUCAUGGAGCAGGGCCUGUCAUCUAUGGAGAGGCCGAAGCCAGUAACACAGACUCCUGUAGUUAUUUCGCUGCAGUUCCUGCUUCUCUCAUUUCUACUCCCUCAGCAUUUCUCCUGCCUGUCCCUCCCCCCGCCCCCAUCCCUACUGCCAUCGAUCGGGUCUCACCAUUGCACAACGGGAAUAUUACAACAUCUCCUAACUGGCCUCCUUGGCUCUCCUGUAACUUCUUCUCCAUGAGGAAUCAGGAGGUGUCAUUCAAACACAAUGCUGGUCAUGUCACUCUCCUGGUUUAAAUCUUUCCUGCUCUGAAAGUAGGGUUCAAACAAGCUGGCGUAGAAAAGUCUUCAGGAUCUGACCCCUGUGGGCCUCAUGAACUUUAUCUUAGCACAUCCUUCAUGUCUUAUCCCACAGUCCAGCCAGGCUGAAUUGUUUUCGGGAACUCUGACUGCCCCCCACUCCUUCCUGCUCCCAUGGCUUUGUUCAGGCUGCUCCUGUGUGGAAUGUUCUCUUCAGUGAGAAGUACUGCCUGGCCCACAAAACCGCUUUAGUUCAAGAAUUAUCUAUGACGUCUCUCCUAUCUGCUCCCCUAAGAAUAAUCAUUUCGAAUUCAGUGCUCCCUCCAAAGCUGUUCCUUCUCUGGUAUCACACAUCCCACCCUGUGCUGUCUGGUUUCCCGGUCUGUCUUCCCCUCCAGGCUGAGGGUGAGGGCUGACGUCAUGUUCGUCCCCGUGGUGUCUUCACUCAUUUGUGUUGACAACGAUGAGUUAACUGUGAGUUCUCUGUUAAACCCGGCCAGAGGAAAUGCUAGAAAGAUGCUGCAAGACUAGAGGAGGACGAAGGGACAGUCUCCUUCCUGUGUGCCACUUUCUGACUCCUCGUCUGCUUCCUACUCCUGGGAGGAGCAUCCCAGCCCUCUUCCUCACGUUCCUGCAGCAGCAGCUGAGUCCCGUUUGCAAUUUCUUCAACCCUCGCAGAACCAGCCUCGCGGUGUCCCCCAAGAGACACCAGCAGUGGGUCAGCACUCUCUCCUCAGAGGCGUAGGUCCUGGUCUCUACAGAGCCCAGCGCCUCCGUUUCUAAGUUUUAAUAAUUCCAACCUCUUUCCUUGCUGUCCAUAGACAUGAGAGCUGCUUCCGGCAGUGGCCACCUCUGUGAUGCAGUCAAGUUGUCUUUACACUGUUUAGUGACCUAGUUGAUAACAUAGCUGGUUAACAAUUCUUUUUAUUAAUCUAUUAAAACUUUCUGACCUCAUCCUGAUGGAUACAGUCACCGAACCAAAGAAAUUCUUUAACAUGAGAGUGUCUGAUUCAGAUUUCUUCCUGUAACAACGCUGCUGGGUUAAAACCCAUUUUAUAAAUAUGGCGCCAUCACAUCAACGCUUACCCCCAAAACAUGUGUUGAAUUUGUAAUGUUUUUGCCCAUCACUUACUUCGGUAACCCUUUUUUUUCUAGGUGUUAAAUGCGACACCAUUGAUUCAGAGGACCCUGGCUAAUUUAUGCUGGUCACUUCCUGCAGGAUCCAGAUCAAACUCUUUGUGCCUGGCCCUACCUUGGACCAACCGUGCUCCUGCUUCUCAUUCCAGUCCUGCUGUGACAGGGGCCACCAUCUGGAGCAUCUGACCACGUACUCUACCGGUACAGAGAGGAGCAGCAGCACCAGAGAAGGAAGUGAAGGAGAAAUAGCAGCAAGGCUGCAGAAGAAAAUACACCCGACAUGGAUAAUCUUCUAUUGAUGAAGGAGAAUUGUGUCCUCUGCAUGGUGGGACUGUGACUCAUUAGAGCUCCUGAAUUAAAGAGGAAGGUCUCCCUGCUGAUUCUGCUUCCUUGGGUUUGUUGGUGGUUAUUAUUAUUCCCUAAUAUAAGAAAGACAGCAGUGCCCUACUCUGAGAGAGGAUCAUUCUUCUGGGCAUCACAUGCUGCUGAAAAAAAUCCACUCAUGAAUUCGGAGCACAGCCAGGACUAAAUUGUAGCUCCUCGCUGUCCUGCAAGAAAUGGUCCCUAAAUGUAAUUCCCCUGAAUGAUUGGACUAGAUGGCAACUCAGGCUGAGUGAGAUGGAUGAGAUGGAAAUGACUCUCCAAGUAUGAUUUAAUGACAGAAAGGGCACAGUGUAUAUGAUCGGGCAUAUUCUCUUUCCCAACACAGGUCCAUUCAUCCAUUCAUUCUUCCCUUCUUUCCAUCUUCAUUUACUGCAUGCCCUUCUGCAGCCGGGCCCUGGGUGCAGUACUAAGGAUACCUCUCCUGGGCUGUUGGAAGGAAGUGGCAGGUCAUACAUCAGUGCCUGAACAGCAAACCAUUAGACUUUCACCUUCCUUUGUGGUGGAAGGGAAAGCCCAUUUUAAAUCUCUUAAAAUGGAUUAUGAAAUUCUAUAAGGAUGUACCAAGUGAGAGAAAAUAACACAAGGAACCCUCAUCUGCCCAUCAUCUACCUCUAUCAAAUCUCAACAUUUUGAGUGAUUUGCUUUAGGUUUUUUUUUUUUUUAAUGUAAAAGAUGACAACUAUAAUUGAAAUCAUCCAGGUAGCCCACCUUUAAGCUACCCUCAGGUAGCCAUCAUCAUAAAUUGGUGUUUAUCAUUCACAUUCAUGUUUUAUACUAUGCUUCACAACAUGUGUCUUAAGAAUAACAAGUAGGACUCUUUUAUAUACUUUCAAGCUUUAUACAAAUGGUAUCCUGUUAUACCUGUUCUUCUGUAGUUUGCUUUUUACAUUCAUUAUGUUUCUGAGAUAUGUUUAUGUUAAUAUCCAUUCAUUUCAAUUCUUAUGUAAUAUCCCAUGGUAUUAUUAUAAUACUAUAACUUAUUUAACCAAGCUUAUGGUCAUAUAGGUAGUUUCCCCUUAUUGUGUGCUAUUACGAACAACAUUGCAAUCUAUGGUCUGUAAAUCUCCUGUUUCAUGAUAUGCCGUUAUGGUUUCCAUAGAUUAUAUGCCAGGAAGCAGAGUCUCUAGCUCACAGCGAUUACCACCGGGAACAAAGCCAUAUGGGAGAAGUUUCAUCUCUCCACACCUUUGCUCACACUUAUUAUGAUCAUAAUUCUAAAAUUUUGGUCACCGUAUGUGUGACUGGGUCACCUUGCUGCACAGUAGAAAAUUGACAGAACACUGUAAACUGGGUAUAAUGGAAAAAAUAAAAAUCAUUAUAAAGCAAAUAAAAUAAAAUAAAAUUUUGGCCACCUU